AGGAACCUCCUCACAAAGGAUUCUAUGGACAGUCGAUGCAGGGAGGAGAGAACUCCCUGCAUCGGCGAUUUU
rnacentral:antisense_RNA from 1 species